ACUCCUACGGGAGGCAGCAGUGGGGAAUAUUGGACAAUGGGCGCAAGCCUGAUCCAGCCAUGCCGCGUGAGUGAUGAAGGCCCUAGGGUUGUAAAGCUCUUUCACCGGUGAAGAUAAUGACGGUAACCGGAGAAGAAGCCCCGGCUAACUUCGUGCCAGCAGCCGCGGUAAUACGAAGGGGGCUAGCGUUGUUCGGAUUUACUGGGCGUAAAGCGCACGUAGGCGGACUAUUAAGUCAGGGGUGAAAUCCCGGGGCUCAACCCCGGAACUGCCUUUGAUACUGGUAGUCUUGAGUUCGAGAGAGGUGAGUGGAAUUCCGAGUGUAGAGGUGAAAUUCGUAGAUAUUCGGAGGAACACCAGUGGCGAAGGCGGCUCACUGGCUCGAUACUGACGCUGAGGUGCGAAAGCGUGGGGAGCAAACAGGAUUAGAAACCCCAGUAGUCCCAUGAU
rnacentral:rRNA from 1 species